rnacentral:rRNA from 1 species
UAACACUAGGUAACCUGCCCAUGUGUCCGGGAUAACUGCUGGAAACGGUAGCUAAAACCGGAUAGGUAUACAGAGCGCAUGCUCAGUAUAUUAAAGCGCCCUUCAAGGCGUGAACAUGGAUGGACCUGCGGCGCAUUAGCUAGUUGGUGAGGUAACGGCCCACCAAGGCGAUGAUGCGUAGCCGGCCUGAGAGGGUAAACGGCCACAUUGGGACUGAGACACGGCCCAA